UUAGACGUGGAAUGAUCUCCAACAGAUUAACACUCUGGAUUUUAUGAAAACUCAAACGCAGAAGCAUUCUUCUUUGGUGACACAGUUUCCUCUGCAGGCCAAGUUAUUGUGAUGGAAGAUGUUCAAGAAAGUAGGAAGCAGUGUCAGCACGAGGCGCCAGGAAAUUGAGUGUUUUGAUGGCAGCACAUCUAACAAGUAGCUCUUUCUCUGCCAGUGAAGAAGAUCUUGGAACAGCAAAGCAGUGGCUUCUUCAGGGAGAAGUGGGGAAGGUGGAAAUGGCUUCUUGCAUUGAAGAUCAAGGAACUGCUGGAGCCAGCGUCUGACGAUGACACGGCCUUGCUGUGUGGUCCAGGUUGGACUUCAACUUAUGGCGAUCCUUCUGCCUCAGCCUGACACAUCACAGACACUCUUGGUUAAAACUGGCUUUAGUAAGUGAAGGGUGGCAAAAAACACAAUGACAGCUUGGCAUCAUUACCUUCAUCUGUGCUAAGGAACUAUUAUCCACGCAACUUUCCUACCAUCGGUGUAAAUGUCAACUUAAUGAAAAAGGCAAAUGCUAAGAUAAGAGUUUUGAUCUUGAAGAUUCACUGAAAGAAUCCUGAACUUGCAUGAAUCCCUGGACCACACUUUGAAAACCACCAUCUUAAAAAGUGAACAGAAUUUGAUGGAAGCGGUAAAGACUUAUUUAAAAUUUGGAAGAUAUGAAUGAAUAAAGGAAAACACUAUA